AUGCAAAACUGUACUGAAAGCCUGCUGCAGGAUUUCAUAAAUAUCGACAGCUUUUUCUGUGGAUACAGGGCCUUGGCUUCUCCAGGCGAGGUCCCAGAAGUGCUCCUCCGCAGGCAUGGAAAUGAGGAGACCUGGGCUGGUUCAGGAAACACCAGAACAGUCCUCAGGAACUUGAGGAUACAAUUCAGUAUUCAUUCACCGGUUUUGAUCAGUAAUUAAGAGUUAAAACGUGCGUCAGUGAGAUGAGACCAUGAUUACGUAACAAGGCGCCCAGAUCAGAAUUCCUCGCUCGCUCAGAGCAGAAGGAAAAUAUCGUCUUCAAGUAUGGGAGCCGGCAAUCAGUGCGGGUAAGAAGGUAAGAAGAGUUUUAGAGAAGUGGGUUUUAAAGAAGGAUUUGAAAACAGAGACGUGUUGAUGGAGUUAGACUAUAGGGGAAAUGCCAGCAGAAAUGAAGAGGUUAACAUCUUGUCGAACAGGAUCUGGAGUUGAUGUUACUGAGUUAAGACAGAGAGAGAGGACAGAUUCGAGUUCAGGCGGGGAAAGAAUCAGAAAGGGAGGACGGAGAGAUUCUUUUUGUGAACAAUUAUUGUAAAAUGUCAUUGAUGUGGCUUCUUUUCAUAAAAUAGCCACACGUAACUAAGGCUGGCACAGCCAUUUUCACUCAGCUCAUUUAGCUCCAAAUAAAGAGGUGUAUCUAGGCCAGACCUGGGACCAUCCUGAGGACCUGCGCGAGGACCAGCCUGGGGACCUGCCUCAAGGAAAAGUAUCGUCUAGAACCUUUUGCUCAAAGUAUUCGGUGUGGAAAGGGUAGGAGGAACUGGCAAUAUUUGCAGUCUAAGUGAAAGUUGAAUUUCCACGUCCAUUGGCUGCUCCUGUCCCCCACAAGCUGGUCCUAGCUGUGAGCAAACACAAGUGCACGGCUGCAAGCAGCUUCAAUGGCCCACCGGGGGCAAAUCUGACCCCUCAUUGCAUGUGGUGUCAGAUAAAGAUGUUCAAAACGUAGUGUCUUCUGGAACGCGUGUCUUCUGGGGCUCCCCACCUGCCGGUGCUUUCAGAGCGGGAGGGGGCAAGGGAGCAGGAGUUGAGUCUGGGGGUUUCAGCCCCCCUCUACAGGCUGGGGCCAGUGUAGUGCAGCCCCCAAGGUGGGGUGGGGGCUCCACUUCCCCCACUCCACCCUUCAGCACCAGGUGCGGAGCCCCAAGUACCAGCUCCCUCCACUGCCUUCCCCCUCCCAUUCGCAAACAGCCAGGACUGCACAGGCUGUGGGAACCUGCUUGCAGGCUCCCGGCAGGCAGCGAGAUCCCCGCCCCUCCGGACCCGCAGUGACCGUCGGUUUGGUCUGGGGUAAGGGUGUAAAUCGGAUCGCUUUGCAAACUUGUUCUGAGCUACAGCUGGGAGCUCCACUUCUCUCUGCACCCUUAGGGCACGUCCGCACGUGCAGGCCCGUGUGCUUGCAGCAGCUCAGAUAGGAGCGGCACGUAUUUGAGCUGGGGAUUUCUGCCUCAGCACGUGUCUGCACGUGGCCUUUGGUGUGGGGCAAGUUGUGCCACUUGGGGCAGAAUAACCCUGCCCAGCUCCUCCCGGAUCUGCAGCCAGGGGCAGCCAGAGCCUGCGGCCAG